UUACAUAGCAGUUGGCGGUAACGCUCUUUUACCGUCACCUCAGGCUGUGAAGAACUAGUAGACCUGAAAGAACUGCGGUUAAGGGCAGUUAAAAGCACUGAUCGCUACCAGCGCAAGGCUUUGCCGCACUCACUACGCCCACAGGUGCGCCGGACCGCGUAGUUUAAAGCCGCCGUCCGGCUACCCUUCACCAGCUCCUAGGGGUCCCGCGCUGGCGGCGGGACUCUCCGCCGGAGUCCCGCCGGCAGCACCCCGCCGCGGGGAGGUAAGCCCCCGGUGGUGCGGCACCCAGCAGGGCACGGCACGGCGUCCCGCCGCCGCCUCCAGGCUCGUCGGAGCGACUGGCAGGAGGAGCCAGGAAACAGGAGGAAGAUGGACCAUGGGAGAGAACAAGCUGUUUCCUGUUUUACAGCUGCUGCCACUGUUUCCAAAGCUUUAACAUCUCCAGGUCAGAGGGAGCGGCUUGCUGCUGCACUGCUUCAGCACAGGUCGGCAUGAAAAGAAUUGUUUCUGUAGAUUAGAAGCUCCUCAGAUGAGAGAUAUGCUCUGUUAUUACCUGCACUCGAUGUCUUUUGCAUUCUUCACUUGUCUGCUUUUAAUGUGCUGCCAAAUUAGCAUACCAAGCUGUAGAUGUUAAUUUAAAUUUUGCUUUCCAAGCAAACAAAUAACAAAGCUAUUUCCUUCCCCAUAUUUUUACAAGUAUCAAG